rnacentral:rRNA from 1 species
CACGUAGGGGGCGAGCGUUGUCCGGAAUCAUUGGGCGUAAAGAGCUCGUAGGCGGCUCGGUAAGUCGGGUGUGAAACCCCCAGGCUCAACCUGGGGACGCCACCCGAUACUGCUGUGGCUAGAGUCCAGUAGGGGAGUGUGGAAUUCCCGGUGUAGCGGUGAAAUGCGCAGAUAUCGGGAGGAACACCAGCGGCGAAGGCGGCCCUCUGGGCUGGAACUGACGCUGAGGAGCGAAAGCGUGGGUAGCAAACAGG